UGUCAUCUUUACAAGAUGAGCGGCCAUUUUGUUAGCCGUGUGUAGCUGUGCAGAUUUCCUUCAUCAAAUUUCACCGAAAACAACAACUUCUGGAGGUUUUUGUUUACAUUGUGUUUUCGAUUACAUACUUGUAAGCCGGAAUAAUAAGUGUUUACUCGCUGACAUUAAACAUAGUCAUUCAUUUUCCGAGCUGCUUUGAGUUUGCUAGCUCUUUAGCUAGCUGGCUAACUUGUUUACGUGUUCCGUUGAGGGAAAACAUCGGGCUUUCAUGACCGCCAGCUUUUAAAUGUUACAACUGUCGAAUGAGCACGGUUUGUCCGCUCCUGACUUCCGUUGCCGUACACUUGUGUCUUUUAUUUAAACCGAAGAAAAUCUGAGCCACGUUUAAGACCUUCCAACUUGCGUUGCACCUCAGUAGUUAACCAGCAACUUGAGCUCCGCCAUCAGCUGACUGCUCACGGACCAGCAGCGCUCAGCCAUCCCGGAGCAACAUGUCAGAGCUGUACAUUAGGGUGGCUGAGGAUGAGAACGAGGAGCCCAUGGAGAUCCCCUCGGAGGACGAUGGGACUGUUCUACUAUCCUCGGUAUCAGCCCAGUUCCCGGGGGCUUGUGGUCUUCGGUACAGAAACCCGGAGUCCCAGUGCAUGAGGGGGGUCCGGCUGGUGGAGGGCGUCCUGCAUGCACCAGAGAGCAGCUGGGGAAACCUGGUCUAUGUCGUCAACUAUCCCAAAGAUAACAAAAGGAAGAUGGAGGAAAUCGACGCGGCGUCGGCUGUUAAAAUUAAAAGAGGUUUUCAGAAAACGUCAGACCUCAUAGUCCUCGGGUUGCCUUGGAAAACAACAGAACAAGACUUGAAGGAUUAUUUUAGCACCUUUGGGGAGGUCAUUAUGGUGCAGGUGAAGAGAGAUGCAAAAACUGGCAACUCAAAAGGUUUUGGCUUCGUCCGCUUUGCAGACUAUGAGACGCAAACUAAAGUCAUUGCUCAGAGACACAUGAUUGACGGACGAUGGUGUGACUGCAAACUUCCGAACUCAAAGGCUUCUCCCGAUGAACCGAUGCGGAGCCGCAAAAUCUUUGUUGGCCGCUGCACAGAGGACAUGACGACGGACGAUCUGAGGCAGUACUUCAUGCAGUACGGUGAAGUCACUGAUGUCUUCAUUCCCAAACCUUUCCGGGCCUUUGCAUUUGUCACGUUUGCUGAUGAUCAGGUCGCCCAGGCUCUGUGCGGAGAGGACCUGAUCAUCAAGGGCGUCAGCGUGCACAUCUCCAACGCUGAGCCCAAACACAAUAACAUUCACCAACUCUUUCACAAUUUCCCGGGAGGAGUCGCUUCAUUGGCUGCAAUGUUCGGCAGAUCUCAGUAUCCCUUCCCCUCCUCCCACGUGUAAAUGCUUUAUCAUCCGAGAACACAGCUUCACUCUGCGUAUACGGUGUUAGACGGGUCGUCGGAUUUGGAAAAAGCCAGAUUUUCUUCUGAGCAGCAGUUUGGAGUCAGCGACGCUUGAUGACGAAGCCGAAAUCGCCUUAAUUCUGGGAAGGAUCUACGUCUCCUCAUUAGCAAGAAACAUUCGACCACUCAGUUAGAGUGAUAUCAAAAUUAUAUUCACAUAUUUGUUUGCUUUGACACAUUGGGACCAAAGUCAUCCUGCUUGUUAGAAAUUUCAUUUUGUUCUCCAAAAACUGUUCAAUUCUACCUCACUAGAUCAUGUUCAUAAAUACUUCACAAGUUACUGGUAUAUGCGAGUAUAAAACCUUAUAUUUAUUGUGAUCAAAAGUUGUAUUAGCAUAGCAGGAUAUGUUGAUAGCUGUUUACCUUCAUGAAGAAGUGCAUUGGCAUUUUUAAGUAUAAAGACCUGAGUGCAAAAUCACACUUUGUGUAUUGAUACUAGUGUUGCAAUGUAAAAUAAAAAGUAGGGUUUUAUUUUUAAGUUGUAUGUGGUCUCAGUUUUGGUAAGCAUGUUAUUUUUUACUUGAGAUAGCUGACAGUUUUGCAGAGUUAUAUAUUAUUAUUUAUUCUGUGCUGUGAUUUUCAUUUAAGACCUCUGACUUAAAAAUUCUUUUUUUUUUUUUUAAGUGAAACUGGUGCAUGGAUUAAUUACAUACAAAAUUAUAUUCCAAGUGUUUGCUUUUCGUUUGUUUUGAUGAUUAAAAGCUAGAACUCAACUUCUUCAAAUAUUUGAAUUUGACCUAAGAUCAAGUUGUAACACAAUAAUUUUAAUGUAGAGAUAUUGUGUUGCACGCCAUCAAAUCUUUCAUAUUCUGACCUACUGACGCACAACAAGUCGCAAUGAAAAGGAGCCGUGUCCCCUAAGGCCUUUGGUUAAGCAGUCAUGCAAUUCUACAAAGUGUUUACUUUUUCUCAAUUGCUUUGGUUCAUUUCUCUGCUUGGAUUCUGUUUUAUUUUGAUCACUAAUUCAACUUGCACAACAUUUAGUCACCAUAUGUCUCAUUAUUUUCCAGCAAAUUGUUAUUGCUUUCAGACAUGAAUCAGUUGCUUCCAUAAAAUUCUCUGAAUUUCUAUAACGUCAUUUGCUUAUGUCAGUCCAAAUGAACUAUACUUAUGAAUCCUGGAUACUUAUUCCCUAUAAAUCAUUUCAUUGCCGGAAUCGUUACAUACCAAACUGUUCAGCUAGUUUUCAAAAUCUGUCAAAAUUAUGUUUUAUUAUUUCUUUAAAAAGUUUGCCAAGUUGAGCAAUUUCUCUCAGUGAACCUCAACUUUGAUUAAUAUUGUUUACAGUUGUGUAAAGCUUUUCUCUGUUGUAAAUACGUUUGUACUUGGCUUAUGCAUAAUGCUGUGGAAAAAACAACUGCAUAGAGCAUAAUGCAGCAAAAAUGUGACGCAUUUGUAUGCAGGUCAAGGUUGUGUUAACCAACAAGGAAUUGUACUUUGGUUUUCAAGCACUCACAGCUUACAAAGUAUAAACUUUAGAGGAAAUAAAGAUAACUGAGCAAUAUGUA